GUAGGUGGCAAGCGUUGUCCGGAAUUAUUGGGCGUAAAGCGCGCGCAGGUGGGUUCUUUAAGUCUGAUGUGAAAGCCCCCGGGCUCAACCGGGGAGGGUCAUUGGAAACUGGGGAACUUGAGUGCAGGAGAGGAAAGUGGAAUUCCACGUGUAGCGGUGAAAUGCGUAGAUAUGUGGAGGAACACCAGUGGCGAAGGCGACUUUCUGGCCUGUAACUGACACUGAGGCGCGAAAGCGUGGGGAGCAAACAGGAUUAGAUACCCUGGUAGUCCACGCCGUAAACGAUGAGUGCUAAGUGUUGGGGGGUUUCCGCCCCUCAGUGCUGCAGCUAACGCAUUAAGCACUCCGCCUGGGGAGUACGGCCGCAAGACCG
rnacentral:rRNA from 1 species